GACGAACGCUGGCGGCAUGCCUAAUACAUGCAAGUUGAGCGAACAGAUGAAGUGCUUGCACUUCUGACGUUAGCGGCGAACGGGUGAGUAACACGUGAGGAAUCUACCUAUAAGCGGUGGAUAACAUUCGGAAACGGGUGCUAAUAGCGCAUAAUAUCUUCUUCCGCAUGGAAGAAGAUUGAAAGACGGCUCUGCUGUCACUUAUAGAUGACCUUGCGGUGCAUUAGUUAGUUGGUGGGGUAACGGCCUACCAAGAGUAUGAUGCAUAGCCGACUAGAGAAGGUGAUCGGCCACAUUGGGACUGAGACACGGCCCAAACUCCUAGGGGAGUCAGCAGGAGGGAAUCUUCAGCAAUGGGCGAAAGCCUGACGGAGCAAUGCCGCGUGAGUUAAGAAGGCCUUCGGGUCGUAAAACUCUGUUAUAAGAGAAGAACAAAUUGUAGAGUAACUGCUACAGUCUUGACGGUAUCUUAUCAGAAAGCCACGGCUAACUACGUGCCAGCCGCCGCCGUAA
rnacentral:rRNA from 1 species